UCUUCUCUCUUCUGAACUUGAUUCCUUCUUCUCCCAGUCCGUCCAAAAUCAAAAUACAGCUUCUAUCAAGCUCUUCUAAGUUCUAAGCUCUCCUUUAAUCCCAAAACUAAUCUCCAUUCUCUCGUUUAAAUCCCUCCUUAAACCCCUUUCUUAAUCUCCUUUUUCUCUCCCUACCCAUUUCCCCUGUUCCCAUUUCCCCUUCUGGGUCUCGCCAUUUCUCUUAGGGCUGCUGCGGAGCAAUUCGCCUUAUGACUGAGCCCGGGAGGAUUCUGAGCUAGAUCUUUAAUGGCGAGUAACCACAUUAACUCCUCUGCUUAUGGUGGGGAUGUUCUCGAUUCUACUAAGCUCUCGCUUUCCUCCUCUGCUUCUUUCAAGCCUCGUAAGAAGCCCAAUGUUGCUGCCCCGCCAAUUUCACGUGCUGGCUCUGAUGUGGAUGAUAUUAUUACUCUCUUGCACGGUUCUGAUCCAGUCCGCGUCGAGCUCAAUCGCCUCGAGAAUGAAGUUCGAGAUAAGGACAGAGAACUGGGGGAGGCUCUUGCUGAAGUUAAGUCAUUAAAAAAUUCCGAACGGCUCAAAGAGAGGGCUGUUGAAGAGUUAACAGAUGAGUUGAAGAAAGUAGAUGAAAAGCUCAAGGCAACUGAAGCUCUUUUGGAAAGCAAGAACCUUGAAAUCAAGAAGAUUAAUGAUGAGAAAAAGGCUGCAUUAGCUGCCCAAUUUGCUGCUGAAGCCACCCUUCGAAGGGUACACACCGCUCAAAAAGAUGAUGAAAUGCCUCCAAUUGAGGCCAUUAUAGCACCAUUGGAGGCAGAGCUUAAGCUAGCCCGGCUGGAGGUAGCAAAGUUGCAAGAUGACAAUAGAGCUCUGGAUAGACUUACAAAAUCCAAGGAGGCUGCAUUGCUUGAGGCCGAGAGAACCGUCCAGAUUGCUUUGGCAAAAGCAUCCAUGGUUGAUGACUUACAAAAUAAAAACCAAGAGUUAAUGAAGCAAAUUGAAAUAUGCCAGGAGGAGAAUAAGAUAUUAGACAAGCUGCACAGACAAAAGGUUGCAGAAGUUGAAAGGCUAAUGCAAACUGUCCGGGAGCUCGAGGAGGCUGUCUUGGCUGGUGGUGCUGCUGCCAAUGCUGUGCGUGAUUACCAGCGAAAAGUGAAAGAGAUGAGUGAUGAAAUAAGAACUUUAGAACGUGAGGUAGCUCGUGCAAAAGUUACCGCCAACAGGGUUGCUACUGUUGUUGCUAAUGAAUGGAAAGACGCAAAUGAUAAAGUGAUGCCAGUAAAACAAUGGCUUGAAGAAAGAAGAUUUUUUCAGGGAGAAAUGCAGCAACUUCGUGAAAAACUAGCAGUUGCUGAGCGCACUGCAAAAGCUGAAGCACAAAUGAAAGAAAAAUAUCAAUUGCGCUUCAAGGUUUUGGAGGAAAAGCUUAGAUCAUCUAAUGGUAACCCGAAAUUUGCUUCUGAAGGAAGAAGCAUAAGCACGGGACCUUCGAGACGUCAAUCUCUUGGAGGAGCAGAGCUAUCUAAACUGUCUUCAAAUGGCUAUUUAUCCAGGAGAAAUACAAACUCGCACACAGGAUCGCUCCAGUCGAAUAGUGUCAGUGCAUUGUUGAAGACUACUACAAAACUCUCUUCUAGAUCAUUUGAUGGUGGUAGUAGAUCACUGGAAAGAGAGAAGCUUGUGCAGGAUGCGGCAGUAAAAGAUACGUCAGACACAGCGACCAGUGGUGAGACGAUCGUUCCAUACGAAGAAAAUGAAGACGGUAUUGCAGUCGAAAAAACCAAAACAGAGCAAGAAGAUUCCGUUUCUGGAGCAUUGUAUGAUAUGUUACAGAAAGAAGUCAUAUCUCUUAGGAAAGCUUGUCAUGAGAAGGAUGUAACCCUCAGAGACAAGGAUGAUGCAAUUGAGAUGUUAGCAAAGAAGGUCGAUACUUUGAAUAAAGCAAUGGAGGUUGAAGCAAAGAAAAUGCGAAGAGAAGUAGUGGCAAUGGAGAAGGAACUCGCUGCUAUGCGUGUAAGCAGGGAGAGCGAUCAAAGGCCUCGACGCCAGAGUGCACCUAGAGGGGCUGUAGUUGGUUCUCAGUCACUUCCUGUCAGGAGUAUCCGAAACAGAUAGGGGGUUCGACAUGGGAAUACACAGCGAUGAAAUGACUUUUUUUCUCGACAAUAUUGUCAAUAUAAUUGUAUUUUAUGAUGUCAUAAAACAUUGCUCCUCCUUUGCCUUCGUCUCCGUGGAGCAAUGUUGGGAAAUUUUAUGUAUUUGUAAAGAAACUAACACGAGGAAUUCAUCCUGUGUCUGUAUAUUUUUGUACCAAUGGUAUGAAGAACAGCAAAUGGAAGUUUAUAUAUUAGGCGAUGGAUAACUUUGUAUUCUGUCACCUACAGGUAGAUUGAAUUUUUGGCAUAAAACUCAAUAUUCAUGUUAAAUGAUUAAUAUGUUAUAUUUGUUUUGAUCA